UACGAAGGGGACUAGCGUUGUUCGGAAUCACUGGGCGUAAAGCGCACGUAGGCGGAUAUGUCAGUCAGGGGUGAAAUCCCGGGGCUCAACCUCGGAACUGCCUUUGAUACAGCAUAUCUUGAGUCCGAUAGAGGUGGGUGGAAUUCCUAGUGUAGAGGUGAAAUUCGUAGAUAUUAGGAAGAACACCGGUGGCGAAGGCGGCUCACUGGCCCGAUACUGACGCUGAGGCACGAAAGCGUGGGGAUCAAACAGG
rnacentral:rRNA from 1 species